rnacentral:rRNA from 1 species
CGCGCGGCCCGGGGGGCGACCCCGGGGGCGCGCGUCCCCGCGAGCUCUAAACAACCCUUUGGGCGCGGCGAGCGCCAAGGAAUCGAAGCGGAAAGGGCGGCCGCCCCACCAGGCGCGAGCGCACCCCGGCCGGGGACGCGGCGCCGCCGUGGGGAUCCGCCGCCCGCCUGUGAAAUCUUUUAGACGACUCUCGGCAACGGAUAUCUCGGCUCUCGCAUCGAUGAAGAACGUAGCGAAAUGCGAUACUUGGUGUGAAUUGCAGAAUCCCGUGAACCAUCGAGUCUUUGAACGCAAGUUGCGCCCGAGGCCACUCGGCCGAGGGCACGCCUGCCUGGGCGUCACGCCACCCAUCGCCACCCCCCCGCGGCAUUCCCAUGCCCCGCCGGGGAGCGGAGACUGGCCGUCCGUGCCCGAGCCCUCGGCGCGCGGUCGGCAGAAAAGGAGGACACCGUGCGGCGAGACACGGCGUGUGGGGGUUGAGAGGCGACUCGUCGCCGAUCGUACGUCGCGCCCGCAUUCCGCCGCGCGCAGUGUCACCCGUGGGACCGGACUCGCCCGCAGCCGCGGGCGCUCGG